AAUCAACGCUGGCGGCGUGCCUAACACAUGCAAGUCGAACGAGAAAGUGGAGCAAUCCAUGAGUAAAGUGGCGACCGGGUGAGUAACACGUGACUAACCUACCUUCGAGUGGGGGAUAACCUCGGGAAACCGGGGCUAAUACCGCAUAAAAUCUUUGGGAUGAGAAGCCGAAGAUCAAAGGAGCAAUUCGCUUGAAGAGGGGGUCGCGGCUGAUUAGCUAGUUGGUGGGGUAACGGCCCACCAAGGCUUUGAUCGGUAGCCGGCCUGAGAGGGCGCA
rnacentral:rRNA from 1 species